rnacentral:rRNA from 1 species
UACAGAGGUGGCAAGCGUUGUUCGGAAUUACUGGGCGUAAAGGGCGCGUAGGCGGCCUUCUAAGUCAGACGUGAAAUCCCCCGGCUUAACCUGGGAACUGCGUCUGAUACUGGGAGGCUUGAGUAUGGGAGAGGGAUGUAGAAUUCCAGGUGUAGCGGUGAAAUGCGUAGAUAUCUGGAGGAAUACCGGUGGCGAAGGCGGCUCUCUGGGACGGUACUGACGCUGAGACGCGAAGGCUAGGGGAGCGAACGGG